AACGAACGCUGGCGGCAUGCCUAACACAUGCAAGUCGAACGAGAACUUCGGGUCUAGUGGCGCACGGGUGCGUAACGCGUGGGAACCUGCACUUAGGUUCGGAAUAACUCACCGAAAGGGGAGCUAAUACAGGAUAAUGUCUUAGGACCAAAGAUUUAUCGCCUUUGGAUGGGCCCGCGUUGGAUUAGCUAGUUGGUAGGGUAAAAGCCUACCAAGGCGACGAUCCAUAGCUGGUCUGAGAGGAUGCUCAGCCACACUGGGACUGAGACACGGCCCAGACUCCUACGGGAGGCAGCAGUGUGGAAUAUUGGACAAUGGGCGAAAGCCUGAUCCAGCAAUGCCGCGUGAGUGAUGAAUGCCUUAGGGUUGUAAAUCUCUUUUACCCGGGAUGAUAAUGACAGUACCGGGUGAAUAAGCUCCGGCUAACUCCGUG
rnacentral:rRNA from 1 species